rnacentral:rRNA from 1 species
UACGGGGGGGGCAAGCGUUGUUCGGAAUUACUGGGCGUAAAGCGUGCGUAGGUGGUGAGUUAAGUCUGUCGUGAAAGCCCCGGGCUCAACCUGGGAAUGGCGAUGGAUACUGGCUCGCUAGAGUGCGGUAGAGGAGAGUGGAAUUCCCGGUGUAGCAGUGAAAUGCGUAGAGAUCGGGAGGAACAUCAGUUGCGAAGGCGGCUCUCUGGACCAGCACUGACACUGAGGCACGGAAGCGUGGGGAGCAAACAGG